UUGAAAAGGUUUAAUCGGUUUUAAUUUGGCCUUAAUUAAAAUGGUUAAUUAAUUGUCCCCUUGCAAAAUCAGCUAUCUGUGUUUGUAGAAGAGGGUUUCUUGUAUGAAAUCUAGCCGCCACCAACACCUUCUCUCUCCACCGCAUUAGCAUUGCCAAGAAUGGCAAAAAUAUAGAUGUACGUCGCCUUUUCGCAAGCCUGGCAUGGCCGAUUGGGGCAAACAUUUAAUGUUAGCCUCUUCUUUCUACCAAAUCUCAGCCAAACGAGGUAUAAUCCUCCUCAUAUCUUACUUUUUUGCAAAUCAAAGUCAAACGAGUACAAGUCCCUAAAUGGAAUUUGUUUCUUUGCAAUUUCAAAUUGUUGAUUCCUAUUGGCUCACUGAGUUUGUGCGGGAUUCAAGAGGAAUCCCUAAAGAAAUUCAGUCCCACAUCGAGUUUCAACAGAAAAAUUAGGGUUUUGGGAUUUUAUAUAAUGAACCCCACCCAUCAACACAAGACACACCUUACAAGUCUCAAAUCAGAGCAAAAUACCUAAUUUAACUAGGGAUUUAGCAAUUUUUGUUGAAACCUUUAACUAAUUAGGUUUAAGUGUAAAAAUUUAAUUCUUUCUUUGUUUGUUGCUGAGUUUCGAGGAGGAGCAAGGAUUUCAACUCCAAAUCUCGAUCAGGGCUGCGCAUAAGAAAGAUUGUGAUACAGAGACUGCUACCCGCCCUCACAUCUAGCGUGGAGGAUGUUUGCUGAUAGAUUUAAGGUGAGCUUCUUCCCAUGCCAGGCUGCCCGAAGAUAUUCUUCCUACGAUGUCUUUUCUUAUUCUGGACAUUAUGGAUAUUUAUGAGUCAGAUUUCAUUCCUUAAACAUGUUUUAGAUUAGAGUCUUGUACGAUGACUUUCGAAUUUUGGAAAUUUUGUAAUAGUUAGAACUUCCACACUUAUAUUCAGUAUUUCAUGGCAUGACUUAUUUUGUUCA